CCUACGGGAGGCAGCAGUGGGGAAUAUUGGGCAAUGGAGGCAACUCUUACCCAGCAAUGCCGCGUGAAUGAAGAAGGUCUUCGGAUUGUAAAGUUCUUUAAUUGGGGACGAAAAAAAUGACGGUCCCCAAGGAAUAAGCCCCGGCUAACUACGUGCCAGCCGCCGCGGUAAUACGGAGGGGGCAAGCGGUGUUCGGAAUGACUUGGCGUAAAGGGUGUGGAGGAGGUGUAGCAAGUUAGAAGUGAAAUACCUAGGGCUUAACUCAGGUGCUGCUUCUGAAACUGCUAUACUUGAGUGCAGUAGAGGAAAGUGGAAUUCCUAGUGUAGCGGUGGAAUGCGUAGAUAUUAGGAGGAACAUCAGUGGCGAAGGCGACUUUCUGGACUGUAACUGACGCUGAGACACGAAAGUGUGGGGAGCAAACAGGAUUAGAUACCCGAGUAGUC
rnacentral:rRNA from 1 species